UACAGAGGUCUCAAGCGUUGUCCGGAAUUAUUGGGCGUAAAGAGCUCGUAGGCGGCUUGUCACGUCGGGUGUGAAAGCCCGGGGCUUAACCCCGGGUCUGCAUUCGAUACGGGCUAGCUAGAGUGUGGUAGGGGAGAUCGGAAUUCCUGGUGUAGCGGUGAAAUGCGCAGAUAUCAGGAGGAACACCUGAGGUGAAGACGGGUUGCUGGGCUGACACUGACGCUGAGGCGCGAAAGCCAGGGAGCAAACGGG
rnacentral:rRNA from 1 species